UCUAGAACUCGAGAUAUGGGCUGAACACUGAACAGUGUCUGGGUUGUAGGAUAGAUUCUGACUUCUCCGUUGUUGCUAAGAUUUGGACUUCCAAACAGCAGAAUUGAGUCUUAGACUCCUCAUAAAUUUUUUAGGCCUAUGUCUUAGCUUUCUAGC
rfam:Populus trichocarpa scaffold_1_contig_220, whole genome shotgun sequence.